rnacentral:rRNA from 1 species
GAUGAACGCUGGCGGCGUGCCUAAUACAUGCAAGUCGAGCGAACAGAUGAGGAGCUUGCUCCUCUGGCGUUAGCGGCGGACGGGUGAGUAACACGUGGAUAACCUACCUAUAAGACUGGGAUAACUUCGGGAAACCGGAGCUAAUACCGGAUAAUAUAUUGAACCGCAUGGUUCAAUAGUGAAAGACGGUUUUGCUGUCACUUAUAGAUGGAUCCGCGCCGCAUUAGCUAGUUGGUAAGGUAACGGCUUACCAAGGCAACGAUGCGUAGCCGACCUGAGAGGGUGAUCGGCCACACUGGAACUGAGACACGGUCCAGACUCCUACGGGAGGCAGCAGUAGGGAAUCUUCCGCAAUGGGCGAAAGCUUGACGGAGCAACGCCGCGUGAGUGAUGAAGGUCUUCGGAUCGUAAAACUCUGUUAUUAGGGAAGAACAAAUGUGUAAGUAACUAUGCACGUCUUGACGGUACCUAAUCAGAAAGCCACGGCUAACUACGUG